rnacentral:lncRNA from 1 species
CUCCCUCCUUGCAGUCCUCCCCAUACGUGUAUAAUGCCCGCCUGCGGUCCCAUCUGCAUGUGUGUGCAAACGUCCCUCCCCUCAGUCUUACCAACACAGGUGCACAUGCUCAACCUCCCUCCGAGGCCCCACGUGCACUUGUGUGUGCACAGACGCCACUGCGAGUGCCCCUGUGCGUGUGUGAAGCACCUGGUGGUCUGGGGAGACCACACCUGCUGCACCGUCAGACACGGAUGAUGCCGGGCAAGCGUGGCGUCACCACAGUAAGAGACUGGAAGGCCAUGGGGGGGGGGCUCCCGUGGCUGAGCUCCUGAGAGCCCAUGUGGAGAGGAGCACACGCCCCAGUCCACAAAUCAGCGUGCACGUCUGUCCAUGGGGAAUCCCAGAAGGACCCACACUGAGGUCCAACUGGGCAGCUCCCGUGGGGAGCUAGAUUUCUGCUCACUUUAUAUCUGUAUUUUCUCUAACAACCGUGGAUGACUUGGGUGGGACCCAGCUGCCGUUCACAGGCACUUGCAGAGCUGAUCCAGGGCCUGAAGGUCCCAGUGCCAUGGGGGCCUCCCCUGCCAUCUUCCGGGAGCAGGCUCUUCUCCACUUAGACCCACCAGGGCCCUGGGCAAGCAGCGGCCCCGCUCUGUCUUCCUGACCCCUCGGGAGGCCGGGCCAGGUUGACCAGGGGUGCGUUCUGGGCCUAGAACUCAGCGCCCACCUGCCUACCUGCACAACACCCUUGCGGGUGCCGCCCUACCCUGUUGCGAGCUUUGAUCCUCUUGUAGACAAAGUCCGGGAAUGUUUUCCGAGGGACGAAGCGGCCCGCCCCCGGGGUGACAAACAUCUUCCCGUCCUCCAGCGCCACUCGGCCCUGACUUAUGACCACGGCAGGCGCUCCCCGGCACUCCACUCCCUCGAAGAUGUUGUACUCCACGUUCAGAUUGUGGGUCUUGGCAGAGAUGAUCUUGGUGGCCUUGGGGUUCCAUAUGACCAGGUCAGCGUCAGAGCCCACAGCCACUCGCCCCUUCCUUGGGUAAAAAUUGAAGAUUUUGGCAGCAUUUGUACUGGUCACCGCGACGAACUCAUUCUCGUCCAUCUUCCCAGAGGCCUGGGGAACAAGAAGGCUGAGCUGAGGGCGACGGGUGGGGUUGGGGUGAGGCUUGCGCGAGGACAGACACUGGGCCACCAGGACCCCACAAGGAUGGAUGCCAGGUCACCAGGCCCCCGUGAGGACAGACGCUGGACCACCAGGCCCCCCACAAGGUUGGACGGCAGGACACGGGGCCCCUGCCAGGUCAGAUGCUGGACCGCUGGGACCCCACAAAGACGGAUACCAGGCCCCCGUGAAGACGGGCACUAGAGUGCCACCCAGGCAGCCAAGAUCAGGACAGGGCUCCAGCCACGGCCCUCGCCAUGGCAACACUCAGGGUAAGAACGCCUGAGUAACCCCUGGGGUAAGAACGCUGCACUGGUGAGUCAGGGAGCCCAUCUCAGUGAUGCCUGCUGGUCUGCCCCUUCCUGGGCGAAGCCUUUCUGCAUUCACUUUGUGGGUAAAGCUUCCACGAAGGUUCAGCGAGAGUGGAGCUUCAGUGGCAAC